rnacentral:rRNA from 1 species
UACGUAGGGGGCAAGCGUUGUCCGGAUUUAUUGGGCGUAAAGAGCGUGUAGGCGGCCAGGUAGGUCUGCUGUGAAAACUCGAGGCUUAACCUCGAGCUGUCGGCGGAAACCAUCUGGCUAGAGUCCGGAAGAGGAGAAUGGAAUUCCCGGUGUGGCGGUGAAAUGCGCAGAUAUCGGGAAGAACACCCGUGGCGAAGGCGGCUACCUGGCCCAAUACUGACACUGAGGCACGAAAGCGUGGGGAGCAAACAGG